AGGCCACAGAUAUGGAUUCGUUUAUCAUGUCUCCAGGGUACCCGACUCAGUACUUCAGCAACAUGAACUGCCGCUGGACCAUCGUGGCGACGGAUAACGAUGCUACGGUCGAACUGGUUGCUGUCAUCUCCGACAUUGCCGACACUUCCCCAUCUUGCAGCAGUGACAGAGUGUCUGUUACGGACUCUGAUAUGACAGAACUGGGGAUAUUCUGUGGAACGAACAAACCUACAUAUAAUAGUACAGGACCAAACAUGACUGUUGUC